UGGUGAUGAGGAUAAAAUCAUUCAUCAUGAUGUACACUGAAUGCUAUAUACGCUAUUCUGAACCACUA